rnacentral:lncRNA from 1 species
UAAAAAUUACCCCACAUAAAAACUCGUAAUUAAGUCAGCUAGUUUACACACAAAGCUACUCGGAGUCUCGGAUAGUUGUGAUAUGUACUUGUCUGUACCAAACAGACUCGAUAUGUAUUUAAUCGAAGACAAGAGACAUGGAUUGAAUUCACAUGACGAUGAAUCCAUAUUGCAUUACAAUAAGGUAGAAACUCACUGUUUCUCUUAUUUAUUCAUAUCAGCCAGCUAUAUAUAUGUAGAUAUAGGUCUCAGAAACACUUGGAACGGUAUGCGUAUUACAUCAACAUAUGGAGACCCAACUGUGAACUGUGUUUUCAUUAGCAGCGGCAGGGGCAGCAUUUGCCUGGUGGUGCUGGCGCGCAACACACACAUUGUGGACAGAACCUUAUUGGUGGUGAAGGCCGUAUUGGUGCUCGAGGAGGCAUCUUAUACUGAGGAGGGCCUGAUCAAUAAAUGACAAAUAAUUUUAUUUGAAAACAGCUUCUAAAGAACAUCCCAAGAAAAAAGAUAAAAGUCAGAAAUAUAAGAGUAUACAAUUACCAGGAGAUUGAGCAGCUUCGAAAGGUAGUAUUGAGGAAAAUACCAUGGCAAAAAUGAAGAGUUUCAGCAGCACAGAGCUUGAAAUUUUGCCUGCCAUUUCUUCUAGGCCGUGAGAAAAACUGUCAACUGUUUUUGCUUAGAUUGUCAAUGCAAAGGAGACAUAUUUAUGCUUGUAAGAACUGAUCACAGUGUGAAUAAAAAAGGUUCAAUUCCCACCAAUAAAAAUAAUUGAAGCCCAAAUUGUCUUAAUUUGUUGAAAUUUUCAAGUAGCCACCUCAGCAAAAUUGGACUUUUACCAUGCAAUUUUAAUGUUAUUUGAAUUUAUUGCCAUGCCACUCGCUUUCCACUUGUUUGAUUACUUGUAUAAUGUGUGCGUGUGUGUGUCUUCCGGGAAAUGCUUUGGCAUAAACAAUUUUACUUGAUACGACAGCGAAAAUGAAAGUUUGAUGAGGUUUCAUAGUUGACAAAUUCUUGUGUCCUUGCACACUGUUUCAGAAAAACGAUGCCGUCGUCAAUAUUUUAUCCCCACUGGUGUCAGUUUGUAAUUAUUUUAGGGCAAGUUUUGUUUUAUACUAUUUGUGCUAUUGGAUUUUGUAACUAUCUUCGGAUCGGCCCUUACCUUACACAAAGAUCUUUUUAAUCUCAAAAAUGGUCACAUAAACUUUUUUCAAAAUUAAUUACAAUAAUCCUAAGGUUUAUAUGCAAAAGAGAUUGUUAGACUACCUUAAAGUUAUGUUUGGUAUUGAGAUGUUAUAAUUUUUAAAUUUCAGUUGCUGUGAAAAAAAUUAUAGUUAUUAAAUAAAAGCUAAUAAUAUAUUAUUAUACAUAACUUUUAAAUAAUAAUUGUGACAAAAAUAGUAAAAAUAUUAUAAAUUUUUCAUCAUAAAAAUAAUUGACCAAAUCAAUUUAACUUUUAAGUUCUAAUAGUUAGUGUUUAUUAAACACUUUAAUAUUGUACAUUAAAAAUUAUAGUUGUCCAACCUCAAUACCAAAUAAAGCCGAAAUUAAGGCAGUCUACGGACAUUUAAGCAAAGAUUGAGGAUCUUGGUUGCUUUUUUUCUUUUUUUAAAGUCAAAUGUCUGGUCAAUGUGCUGAGAAAUGGGUUGGACCUAAUCAAACCUAAAUAAGCUGGAACUUUUACCCAGGCCGCAGAGAAUGAGCACAAUCUACUUUUUGUAAUUCAUAUAGAAUGGAAAGUGCUUAUUGCCCCGAAACUAAUCCCCGACUGAACACCACCCAAAUAUAAUUUUUUUUUUCAUAUUUUUUUUUUUUGGCCUUUAUUGGGGUUAAUGGGAAUUUACUUUCGGAGAAUAAAUCACUUUUCAUAUACGGUUGUAAGAAGUUCCACGCAGAGGCGGAUCUAAUGCUGUGUUUACUUGCUGGAGUGGGAGUGAGGAGUGUGGAUUCCUCCCACUCCAGCGUUUACUUCCUUAAAAUGAGAAGGGAGUGGGAAUCCCACUCCGUGGGCCCCACCCAUUUUUGGAGUAGGGAGUGGGAGUGGGACUCCCAUUGGGGGAGGUGGGAGUGGAAAUCCACUCCCACCUCUCCCUUUUUUACCCUUUUAUUUUUUUUAAUUUAAUAUUUUAUAAUUAAUAAAAUAAAAUAAAUAAUAUUAUGUUUAUUUGAAUAAUAUUAUUAUAUUUAUUUGAAUAAUAAUAUUAUAUUUAACUAAAUAAUAAUUUGCAUUGAUUAUAAGUUAAAAUUAUUUUAAAAUAAUAUUAUUAUAUUAAUAGAGAAUUAAUAAAUAUAAUAUUAUUAUAUUUAUUUUAAAAAUAAUAGUACUAUAUUUAUUUUAUUAAAAUUAAUAAUUUAUUGUUCAUAAUUAAGAAUAUUAAUAAUUAUAAUAAAUUUACAAAUAUAAUAAAAUAAAUAUUAUUCAUUAAAUAUAUUUUUUAUUAGUUUUGUAAUUAAAAACUAUAAUUCUUUAAAUAAGGAUAAAAUUGUAAUUUAAAACUAUUUACUCCCAAUCCAAGACAAAGUAAACACAUAAAUUGGAUUCUGAUCUCUAUUCCAUACUUUCAUUCCAGUGUAAGUAAACAACCUACUCCCACUCCCACUCCACACUCUCAAUCCUUGAAUUCUCACUCCUCAGGAUUCUCAAUUCAAUCCAAAAAGUAAACGCUACCUAAAUUCGAGAGUGUGGGGGCAAUUGAUCCCACUCAAAUAUAAAUUUCCUUUAAUUUUCCACCAAUUUUUGUGGAGGCAAUUUUAUAAAAAAAAAUUGAUAUUAGGACCAAUUUUAUAAUUUAUUAUUUUUAUUAUAAUGUUGUCCCCCCUAUGAAUUAAUUUGCUAGAUCCACCCUUGGUCCCCGAACAGGAUUUGUAGCGGAAUAAUGCCUCCAAAAAAACUAAUAUAUCCUGUAUAUUUUAUCAGGAAGCAGGUGAGCAAGUAAACUUUGCUCAAAGUAAGAUAACGAGUCAGCAAAAAAAAAAAAAUUUAAUUUAGUUAAAAGAUGGUUUAUUGACCAAAAUACAUGCACACACAUAUAUAAAGACUUUCAUUUAGAUUGAUUAAAUUAAUUAUGGUUAUUUUUUUUAAUUCGGGGUUUGAAUAGCUGAAGGCCAAGCCAACAAGCGAGGCAAAGGUCUAGAUAAAAAAGUGGAGUAAUGUUGCGUAGUCUGACAUUUACGAUUUUAGAAAAGUGACGUCAUUUGUCUGUUGAAUUGCAGAAUGAAAUAAAAAUUAAUUUGAAGAGAUAUUACUCUUGCCAUUAACUACAAAGUUUUUGACAGUUUGGCUCAUUUGUGGGGUAAAAAAUGGGAAGUGCAAGACUGGACUUCAAACUAGGCAGAUUAGCUAUUUAACAAAGCAACUAUGAUGACCUCUCAAAAAUUAAUUCAUUAUCAUACUCAUUAGCUAACUUCUCUGUCUGCUGACCACACCAGUACCCAUAUUGAACCAUCGUUAGUUUCAGAAAACUCUCUAGUCUCACCAUUUUAGCUUCACCGGGAAAUACUGCAACAAGAAAAUUGUCUUUAAGUUAAGAACACAUAAAUAUUUAUAGAUGCAUGUGAGCUAAUUGAAUAAAACUUUAUUGGCACUCACCUUUUCAAUGAGGGAGAGAUAGUAAGGCUUGACCUUUUCCCCAUCUAUCCGGACUUUGCUCUUGCUGUAAAGGUCAUAUUUGCUGGCAAAACAAGAACGAGGAGUCAAUUUAUAGCAAGAAUGUUAAGCAUAGCCACAUCGUGUACUUGGACUUGCCAAAAGAACUUAAAGGGCUUACCAGAAUAUUUGAAGCCACUUCAGAUUUUCUACAUCCUCCUCGUUCAUUAAGUGUUUGUUUGCUUCUGAUUUGUGCAGCGCUGCAACAUGAAAAUUACUUCCAUUAGCGCGACUUUUAUCUAAACAGCAAACACAUUCAUAAGUACUACUUGUCAAAAAAGUGCUUUCUACUUACCAUAGAAUGAGUGGUAUCUAAUGAUGAAAUGAUUUAUUUUCUUCGCAUCAUAAUUAGACGCCACGACCGUUCAUAUUUCAGAGAUUGCUACUCAUUAUGUGAUCACUAAUUAAGUGAAAUGAUUUAUUCGUUUUAAUAAUUUUUUUUUUGUGUUGUUUAAAGUUAACUAAAAAAAGCUUGAUCGUAAACUAUUCCAUUUUUUCAGUUUUUGUUUAUUGAUUUUUUUUUUAAAAUUAUCUAUUACAUCUCUAAGUUUACUAUCAUAAUUUUAAAGUCCAAACAUUUAUUUACGCAAAGUUUGUUCUUAUUUUUUAAAAACGCUCGCAUAGGACUGCAACAAGUUUAUAAUAGUAAAAGAACUUAAAAGCAGUGUUUUUUUUUACAAUUUUAUAACAUUAAUGAUGUAAUAAAUAAUUUUUUAAGUCGUAAAAGUUAAAAAAAAAAAAACUAAAGAGAUCUUUAUUACAUCAUAAAUAAUUUUUUAAGUCGUAAAAGUUAUUUUAUAACAUUAAUGAUGUAAUAAAUAAUUUUUUAAGUCGUAAAAGUUAAAAAAAAAAAAACUAAAGAGAUCUUUAUUACAUCAUUAAUGUUCGAUCAAUUGUGCCCGAUGUGAAAAGAUAAAACCCAAGUUCGUGUUAACUUUCGGCCUGUCUGGAAACAAGCCCAAUUGCGUCUAGUUGUAACGAAAGUGGCGAGGCAUUGAUUGCCAGAAACGCAAGAUUGUUUUAGCAUUUGAACUGUAAGAUGAUUCUAGCUCCUAUUAAUUCACAUCAUUAAUUUGUUUUUACUGUUAAUUAUCAGUUCAGGGGUGCCACAUAAAAACUCGUAAUUAAGUCAGCUAGUUUACACACAAAGCUACUCGGAGUCUCGGAUAGUUGUGAUAUAUACUUGUCUGUACCAAACAGACUCGAUAUGUAUUUAAUCGAAGACAAGAGACAUGGAUUGAAUUCACAUGACGAUGAAUCCAUAUUGGAUUACAAUAAGGUAGAAACUCACUGUUUCUCUCAUUUAUUCAUAUCAGCCAGCUAUAUAUAUGUAGAUAUAGGUCUCAGAAACACUUGGAACGGUAUGCGUAUUACAUCAACAUAUAGAGACCCAACUGUGAACUGCGUUUUCAUUAGCAGCGGCAGGGGCAGCAUUUGCCUAGUGGCAGUGGCGGACUCAUAAACUAAAAUGAGGGGGGUCUUAGCUCAAA